UGGAACUAAAUGUUGUUUUUU
rnacentral:piRNA from 1 species